ensembl:snRNA U6 U6 spliceosomal RNA
GUGCUCCCUUCAGCAGCACAUAUACUAAAGUUGGAAUGAUACAGAGAAGAUUAACAUGGCUCCUAUGCAAGGAUGACAUGCAACUUCAUGAAGCAUUCCAUAUAUUU